CUUUCCUGGUUACCUUGGGAAAGAAGAGUCAUGAGGACCUGGGAUAUAGAAGUUUACACAGAGAGGAGGGUGGACAGCCAAGCCCAAGUACUUACUUUCUUACAAGCUCAGGCUGCCAGCCAGCAGCACGCUUUGGGGGAGUGAUUGGGGCUUGCUUUUUAAAAAGGCUGUGCAGGGAAGUAUGGAGCAGUAUAUGGGUCCUUGCAUGCUGAAGAUGGUGUUGUCUGCCAAAGCAACGCACAGUCUAACGUAUGUAAUGGUUACCUAUACUGAGGAAGGAGGUAUGAUUUAGCUGUAGCAGCUAACAUAAUCCUAUUCAUUUUACUUGGAGGAUUGGCAGAGUAUUACUGAAUGAGCAGAGAUCUAGGUUUCUGUUUACUACUGAGGAGCUGGAUUAUAGCAGUGAAAAUACAAAUAAUCGCACUUUAUGAAACUCUGAAACAAACUGAGCAUACUCAGUUGCCAAGGU